AAAUGGAAAAGCCGGUACAAGCGUAUAGCAGUCAUGCAGGCAAAACCGCAUGAAAAAUGUAAAGCGUUAUGUGGAUCGAACAUUAGUAGAGAAGCGUGUGAGCCAGCUGCCAAGAAAAGCCGCUAUUGCUUCAUAAGUACCCGUACCGUAAACCGACACAGGUGGAUGAGGAGAGAAUCCUAAGGCCGGCGGGAGAAGUGUUGUUAAGGAACUCGGCAAAAUGACUCCGUAACUUCGGGAGAAGGAGUGCCACAGAGAUGUGGCCGCAGAGAAAUGGCCCAAGCAACUGUUUAGCAAAAACACAGGUCUAUGCAAAACCGAAAGGUGAGGUAUAUGGGCUGACGCCUGCCCGGUGCUGGAAGGUUAAGAGGAGAGGUUAGAGCAAUCGAAGCUUUGAAUUUAAGCCCCAGUAAACGGCGGCCGUAACAAUAACGGUCCUAAGGUAGCGAAAUUCCUUGUCGGGUAAGUUCCGACCCGCACGAAAGGCGUAAUGAUUUGGGCACUGUCUCAACAACACACCCGGUGAAAUUGAAAUACCAGUGAAGAUGCUGGUUACCUGCGCCAGGACGGAAAGACCCCAUGGAGCUUUACUCCAGCUUGAUACUGGGAUUCGGUACUGUCUGUACAGGAUAGGUGGGAGGCUAGGAAAUGGUGACGCCAGUUGCCAUGGAGCCAACCUUGGGAUACCACCCUUACAGUACUGGGUUUCUAACCUGCAGCCGUAACCCGGCUGGGGGACAAUGUCUGACGGGGAGUCUGACUGGGGCGGUCGCCUCCGAAAGAGUAUCGGAGGCGCUCAAAGGUUCCCUCAGAACGGUUGGAAACCGUUCGAAGAGUGCAAAGGCAGAAGGGAGCUUGACUGCGACACCGACGGGUGGAGCAGAUACGAAAGUAGGACUUAGUGAUCCGGUGGUAUAAAGUGGGAUUGCCAUCGCUCAACGGAUAAAAGCUACCCUGGGAUAACAGGCUUAUCACUCCCAAGAGUUCACAUCGACGGAGUGGUUUGGCACCUGAUGUCGGCUCAUCGCAUCCUGGAGCUGUAGCAGGUUCCAAGGGUUGGGCUGUUCGCCCAUUAAAGCGGUACGCGAGCUGGGUUCAGAACGUCGUGAGACAGUUCGGUCCCUAUCCGGCGUGGGCGUAGGAUAUUUGAGAGGAGCUGUCCUUAGUACGAGAGGACCGGGAUGGACAAACCUCUGGUGUAUCUGUUGUUUUACCAAAGGCAUGGCAGAGUAGCCAAGUUUGGCAGGGAUAAACGCUGAAGGCAUCUAAGCGUGAAGCCCCCCUCAAGAUAAGAUAUCCCAUCUUCGGAGUAAGACCCCUUGAAGACUACAAGGUUGAUAGGCUUUGUGUGUAAGUGCGGUAACGCACUCAGCUGAGAAGUACUAAUAGGUCGAGGACUUAU
rnacentral:rRNA from 1 species